rnacentral:lncRNA from 1 species
CUAAAACCUAUAAUAUUGUGAAAGGAAUAAAAUCCAGUGCAAAAAUCAAGAAGAAUUAUGAAAAGAUUACAAUUCUAAUCAAAUUAGGAAACUCACAAAAAAUUGUAAUUCGGUCCUCGACUUUGUUCUAUGCGGUCGCAUAGUUCAUUUGAUUUGCCUCCUGGAAUUCCCUGUCGGUAUACAUGCGACCACAUGGGAAUUAUAACUAUGCGGUCACAUAGUUCACAUUGCCGCUUCCAACUUCCAUUGCUCGUAUCAUAUUGAUCCAAGUCUCUUCGGCCUUCGACCCCAACAUGACACUUGCUCCAUUUUGCGUCCCAAACAUGGUUUCAUCAAUAGUGGCUUUAACGAGCAACCCCAUCACCUCUUUAACUCAUUUCACUCUCAAUCGCGUCAUCGGGCCUUCUUCAAUAAUCAACAGGUCUUGACUCGGCCUUCCCUUCGUGACUCCCGCAUCUUGGAUCAUAUCAGAAAUUAACAAGGAUAGGUCCAAU